ensembl:miRNA Gm23368 predicted gene, 23368
AGAGGUAGGCAGAUCUCUGUGAGUUCGAGGCCAGCCUGGUCUACAGAGUGAGUUUCAGGGCAGCCAGGACUACACAGAGAAAUCCUGUCUCAGGAA